ACAAGAUAUGUCUCAGAAUCCAGCAUUUGCUAAGUGUAAGAAGUACCGAGAUCUGUUAUAGGAGUGUGUGACCACACCCUUCACGGUGCAGCCCUGCCACUCCACAGCCAGGGGAUGAAGACUCGUGCCUAACACUGAAGGUCACACACACAGCCAGUAAAGAGCUCAUGUCCAGGGCAAGCGAGGUUUGCCACCAGGGAGCCUGGAAGGCCUCCCGGUUUUGGGAUCUUGGGAUUGAGGAUGAGGGAUAUUGCAUCGGCACCUCUGGUGGCCAAUGACCCUACAACAGGAGGCCCUUUGGGAGAGAGAGCAGGAGACGAGGACAGAGCCCGCGAGUGACCAGGUUAGAGUGGGGCAGGACAGGUCCAGGAGGAGAGGGACCAGGCAGGGGCACAGGACAGAAAGAGCAGGAGGGUCACCACCCCAGGAGCAGGGGCGAGUGCUGCAGAAAGGCC
rnacentral:lncRNA from 1 species